rnacentral:rRNA from 1 species
ACUGAACGCUGGCGGAAUGCUUUACACAUGCAAGUCGAGCGGCAGCGCGGGGGCAACCCUGGCGGCGAGCGGCGAACGGGUGAGUAACACAUCGGAACGUACCCAAUCGUGGGGGAUAACUAUCCGAAAGGAUAGCUAAUACCGCAUAAGUCCUGAGGGAGAAAGCGGGGGAUCGCAAGACCUCGCGCGGAUGGAGCGGCCGAUGGCGGAUUAGCUAGUUGGUGGGGUAAAGGCCUACCAAGGCGACGAUCCGUAGCUGGUCUGAGAGGACGACCAGCCACACUGGAACUGAGACACGGUCCAGACUCCUACGGGAGGCAGCAGUGGGGAAUUUUGGACAAUGGGCGCAAGCCUGAUCCAGCCAUUCCGCGUGAGUGAAGAAGGCCU